UCCCGCUGCCCCGCUGAGGGGCGGCGGCGCCGCGGCCUCAACAUGGGAAGCGCGGCGGGGGCGAGGAGGAGGCAGCGAGCGAGGAAGAGCCGCCCCCCCCGCCCCCCCGUCCCCACACACACACACACACACACACACACACCCUCCCCGGGGCCGGCCCCGCGCGCGCCGCCGCCUCGCGACCCCCGCCCCCCUCACGGCCGCCCCCCCCCUCCCCUCACAGCCCCGGCCGGACCUUCCCGAAGAAAGGCAUCGGCGGCGGCGGGAAGAGAAGGAGGAAGAGGAGGAGGAGGAGGUAGCCACCCGUCCCUCUGUCCCUUUAGCAAGGUGACCUGCCUGCCUCGCCACGGUGCCUCCAGCCCAAAUAUUCCAGCAUCCCCAAGCUGGCCGGGAACGGCCGUAACAAAGAGUGUCGGCGGCUCUUUGUGUCGUCUGGCGUUCCGGGCUCUCGCAGGCUUUCCAACUCAUCCACGGGGGCUGCAAACUUCCCUUCUGAACGAAAGCUGAGGGCUUUGCUUUUCUUCCCCGCAGUCACACGGAUUCAGGAGCUUGAACUCCGAGAGACGCAAUAAGCGAUUGUGUUGCGAGCCUUGGCAGCGCCAAAUCCGUGAGCGCGGGAUGGUGCAGACAGAAGAGUGCGGGUUACCUCUAACUCAGGUAAUGGAAAGUCUUACCUGGAUCUUCCCUGCUGAGGCUUGGAAUUUAGCAAAGGAAAAAGAUACCUGUAAGACUUGUCAGUGUACUGAACCAUACUGGGAGGGCAGGAGGAAUCUGAAGAAGAUUUUCAAGCACUAAGCAUAAAAAUAAAUGACAACAUAAAACCCGUGUGAAGAAGGAA